CCUACGGGGGGCAGCAGUGAGGAAUAUUGGUCAAUGGACGAGAGUCUGAACCAGCCAAGUAGCGUGAAGGAUUACUGCCCUAUGGGUUGUAAACUUCUUUUAUAUGGGAAUAAAACGUUCCACGUGUGGGAUUUUGUAUGUACCAUAUGAAUAAGGCUCGGCUAACUCCGUGCCAGCAGCCGCGGUAAUACGGAGGAUCCGAGCGUUAUCCGGAUUUAUUGGGUUUAAAGGGAGCGUAGGUGGAUUGUUAAGUCAGUUGUGAAAGUUUGCGGCUCAACCGUAAAAUUGCAGUUGAAACUGGCAGUCUUGAGUACAGUAGAGGUGGGCGGAAUUCGUGGUGUAGCGGUGAAAUGCUUAGAUAUCACGAAGAACUCCGAUUGCGAAGGCAGUUCACUGGACUGCAACUGACACUGAGGCUCGAAAGUGUGGGUAUCAAACAGGAUUAGAUACCCUGGUAGUC
rnacentral:rRNA from 1 species